rnacentral:rRNA from 1 species
GACGAACGCUGGCGGCGUGCUUAAUACAUGCAAGUCAACUUGACUUUAGAUAGCAAUAUCGAAAAGUAGGGUGGCGCACGGGUGCGUAACGCGUAGGUAAUCUGCCUGAGGUCUGACAUAACCCGUCGAAAGGCGGGCUAACAUCAGAUGAUAUAUAAUCACGACAUCGUGGAAAUAUCAAAUCUUCGGAGCCUUGGGAUGAGCCUGCGUCUGAUUAGGUAGUUGGCGGAGUAAUAGCCCACCAAGCCUACGAUCAGUAGCUGGUCCGAGAGGAUGAUCAGCCACACUGGAACUGAGACACGGUCCAGACUCCUACGGGA